CCCCGUUGCGCCUGAACCCACACACGCGUCGACACGGUAUCCUGGGUGCUCGAAAGAGUUGGAUAUCGGGGCGCGUGGAGGCCUAAC
rfam:Pseudomonas sp. Chol1 Contig6, whole genome shotgun sequence.